GUUCGAGCACCAUGGAUCUGCAGAGAGUCCAGGCUGCUGGUUUCCAUUAGGUGCAUGUACAGAAGAAGGACAGGAGGGAAAAGCUUCUUGCAUAAGCAAAAAUACCAGUGUUAGUUUGCAAAUAUAAUGAAGACCGUGAAAUGCACAGCCCAGAAGACUAACUGUAUUAUAUUAGGAUUAGAUUUGUAUUCACGUAUUUUAGUAAAUAAUCCUCUAAGUCUUAAAACACUACUUAUUUCCAAGAGUCUUAUACGGAAUGACGGAAUUUUUCUGGAAUUCUUCCAUCUGGGAUUGCGACAGGUUUGCCAGCCAUGUGGAAAUGCUCACCAAUCUGUCCUAAGUUAUUAGUAAACUGCCAGAGCCAUAAGAAAAGAAGUACAGGACAGUGUGGUGCAGAGGGCCAGGGAGGAUAUUUCAAGUUCAGUGGACUGAGUGAAAAGAUGGAAGGUUGGCUGUGGCCAGUGAUAACAGGACAAGCUGAAUUUUAAGCUUUUUUUGGACUCUGUGCAAUGUAACACAGGUCAGAGAACUCUGAACAGCUUAUUCUCUUUUCUUGUUGUCAGCAGUAGGAACCUCAUUUUAUUCUCUGUCAGCUUGGCCUGUCCUUUGAUGAUGUGUCUGUCUCAUUGUGGUGUGGGUUUCUGCAGUUAUAAACGGACUGUUGCUACCUUGGCACCUUUCAUUCCUUAACUCUGUCACUGGUCUGAAAGCAGCAAGCUGUUCUCAUUUAUGGAAGCCCCACCUGAACACCUGUGGGUGUAGACAGACAUAAUAACUGUAUUUUUAUCAAACAAUAGUGAUAUAAAACAUUAUGCAAUAACA